rnacentral:rRNA from 1 species
UACGAAGGGUGCAAGCGUUACUCGGAAUUACUGGGCGUAAAGCGUGCGUAGGCGGUUCGUUAAGUCUGAUGUGAAAGCCCUGGGCUCAACCUGGGAAUGGCAUUGGAAACUGGCGACCUAGAGUGCGGUAGAGGGUAGUGGAAGUUCCCGGUGUAGCAGUGAAAUGCGUAGAGAUCGGGAGGAACAUCUGUGGCGAAGGCGACUGCCUGGACCAGCACUGACACUGAGGCACGAAAAGCGUGGGGAGCAAACAGG